CAGCCCACGCUUUUUCACGCCUUAAAAAAAAAAAGAACAUAUCAAAUCCAAGAGAAGCAAAGGUAUUCCUUAUUCUGGUUGGGAACCCAAUCUUUUCAUCAACACUACCUUGGGCAGAGUGCUUUAUUUUUUUGCUCAGACUUCAUGGAACAUCUUCAAAGAGCCCAGCGUCCACUGGAGGAGCAUGGUGCUGAUUUAGCGCACGUGAAAUCAAUGCUGCCUGCUCCCAGUGCCAUCUCAAGUCCCAGCAUAUUUCUAAUUGCCUGUUUUCUGACGGCGAGCUCUCUCCUUGCCCUCUGUGCUGUGACCUACUUCAAUAGGGCAUGCAGCUCACUCCCAUCCCUACAGCACUUUUCCUGGAUACAGAGAGAUGCUUUCUUGCUCCAGCGAAGGCUCUGCUGGAUUGGCAGAAGCUCUGUGACUGGGGAAUUACCUCUGUGUGCCUCGGCCUUGACUUGGUUUUGAUAUCUUGCUCCAGGCAAUAUGGAAGUACCUGUGAAAUGCAACGGAUAUCACAGUAAACAACGACUUGGAGGCAAGUCCACAGCCAUAAAUCAGCAUUUUUCUGAGUGCCGGGGAGGACGACAAACCUCUGUGUAAGAGCUCUGCACCACGAAUGGAAAUUACUCAGUGCUGACGCCUGAAAGGACACCAGCAGCCCUUGCGCUCUGUGCUGAAUUUUACUUCGAUUUCUACUUCAUCUACCAGGCUGUCUGCCUGGUGGGAGAGCAGUCUAUUACAAAGGGGAGGGUCCUGUUUGGGUCAAAAGAAUGCAUUUUUAGGAAUGCGUGUUUCAAGGCCAAGCCUGCUGGUGAUCUGUCCUUGCAGCCUCUGUUAUGUACUGAAAGAUUUGUUAAGAAG
ensembl:lncRNA